UGAAUUAUAGGGCUGUCUAGAAAUCCCAGCAGUGGAAGUAGAAGAUCCUGAAUAAGUAUUUGUUCUUUGUUUAGAAGCAUAAAAAGCUGUAGGUGCAGCAUGCUGUGAGACAUGAACUUCCCUUUGUUUCUCGUCCCUGAUGAGGAGAGAAUAUGCAUAGUUCACUGAGGGAAGAGGGGAAAGCAACAAAAAGUUGCUUCUAGGUCCUGCAUAAGCUUCCUUCAGUCCCAUUAAGAACUGAAUAAACAUUGUAUCUUGUUCAGAUUUGUGAGAUCUCACCUUACCUCCACAUGAACAAUCACAGGUGCAAGGUUGACAAAAUAUCUAGGUUGUCCAGCUCAUCCCAUAGUCUUUUCAUCUUGGUAUAAUAACUUGCAAUGUCCAGAUUUCCUUGAACUGACUCAUUAUUUCCUUUUGUAGUUGAUAAAGAAGAGGUCCAUUGCUCUGGCCAAAUCUCUCCUCAAGCUCCUCCCAGAUGGUCUUUGCAGUCUUGGAGUACAAAACACUUUCAGCAAUCUCCUUUGAUAGUGAGUUCAAGAGCCAAAAGAUGACCAUAUUGUUGCAUCUAGACCAUGAUUUGUAAUUAUCAGAAGUGAUAUUUGGAAUGGUGAUUGUACCAUUAAUGAAUCCAACCUUGUUCUUUGUUGACAAGGCUAUCAAAAUUCCCCUGCGCCAACCUCCAUAUCCCUUACCAUAAAAAAUGGUGUUUACCAGCACCAUACCAGGGGAAUCUGAAGCAUGAAGGAAGAAAGGGUUUGAGAUGUCUACUAUACUGGUCUGAUAGGAACCAGGAACAACUCCAACUGGGGAGUUUUGAGUGGUGUUUUCAUUAAGAGGGGUGUUAUCUCCUAUUGGAUCUAGAAAAGAAGAAAACAAUUAAAGGGAAGGUAAGAGUGAGAAGAAGGAAGAAAUUUGAAAGAGGAUUGGGAUCUAUUCCCACUGUUCUGAUACCAUGUUGAAAAUCAAAGAGAAGAUGAUCGAGAAAUUUUCCGUGUUUUCAAUCAUCACUGUUACAUUGAUUUAUACAAGUAGAAUUGAGAAAUAUUGCAAUUAUGCUAUGUACACUUGUCACUAUUCUACAGGCUAGAUUCCUAACAAACUUUGCAGGAAAAUUAUUCACAAAAUAUUCCUUUGCUAUGUACACGUAUAAGGCUUCUAGAAGAUGUCAAAAUAAGAACUGCUUUCAUCAUCAAUUGGGCAAGAUCUGUAUGAGUCCAAAUCUGCUUUCUCUAUAUUUGAGCCCAAAUUCCUUUUUGUCUUAGUUUGUACAGUCUUCUUCUUUAUUCCUUUUCUUGAGAGUAUCCCUGAGUUGAGAGAGACGGAAAGUAUUAUGAUGGUCUGAGAAAUCAGAGAUCGAUUACCACUGAGUUGGAAUUUGAG
rnacentral:lncRNA from 1 species